GUGGGGAAUAUUGCACAAUGGGCGAAAGCCUGAUGCAGCAACGCCGCGUGAGGGACGACGGCCUUCGGGUUGUAAACCUCUUUUAGUAGGGAAGAAGCGAAAGUGACGGUACCUGCAGAAAAAGCACCGGCUAACUACGUGCCAGCAGCCGCGGUAAUACGUAGGGUGCAAGCGUUAUCCAGAAUUAUUGGGCGUAAAGAGCUCGUAGGCGGUCUGUCGCGUCUGCUGUGAAAACUGGAGGCUCAACCUCCAGCCUGCAGUGGGUACGGGCAGACUAGAGUGCGGUAGGGGAGAUUGGAAUUCCUGGUGUAGCGGUGGAAUGCGCGGAUAUCAGGAGGAACACCGAUGGCGAAGGCAGAUCUCUGGGCCGUAACUGACGCUGAGGAGCGAAAGCGUGGGGAGCGAACAGGAUUAGAUACCCCGGUAGUCC
rnacentral:rRNA from 1 species